rnacentral:rRNA from 1 species
AGAGUUUGAUCAUGGCUCAGGACGAACGCUGGCGGCGUGCUUAACACAUGCAAGUCACGGGGGCCCGCAAGGGUAACCGGCGAACGGGUGCGUAACACGUGAGCAAUCUGCCGUACACUGGGGGAUAGCCGGCCCAACGGCCGGGUAAUACCGCAUACGCUCCUUUGGCGGCAUCGCUGAGGGAGGAAACCUCCGGGGGUGUACGAGGAGCUCGCGGCCUAUCAGGUAGUUGGUGGGGUCACGGCCUACCAAGCCAUUGACGGGUAGCUGGUCUGAGAGGAUGGCCAGCCACAUUGGGACUGAGAUACGGCCCAGACUCCUACGGGAGGCAGCAGUGGGGAAUAUUGCGCAAUGGCCGCAAGGCUGACGCAGCGACGCCGCGUGGGGGAUGAAGCAUUUCGGUGUGUAAACCCCUGUUGCUCGGGACGAACAGCUCUUUUCGAGGAGCCUGACGGUACCGGGUGAGGAAGCACCGGCUAACUCCGUGCCAGCAGCCGCGGUAAUACGGAGGGUGCGAGCGUUGUCCGGAAUCACUGGGCGUAAAGGGCGCGUAGGCGGUCUGCUAAGCGUGCGGUGAAAGCCUGGGGCUCAACCCCAGGUCGGCCGUGCGAACUGGUGGACUGGAGCACUGUAGAGGCAGGUGGAAUUCCGGGUGUAGCGGUGGAAUGCGUAGAGAUCCGGAAGAACACCGGUGGCGAAGGCGGCCUGCUGGGCAGUAGCUGACGCUGAGGCGCGACAGCGUGGGGAGCAAACAGGAUUAGAUACCCUGGUAGUCCACGCCGUAAACGAUGGGGACUAGGUGCUUGGGGGAGCGACCCCUCGAGUGCCGGCGCUAACGCAUUAAGUCCC